GAAGAAGAGAAGAAGAAGAAAAUGAGAAAGAAGAAGCAAAUGAAGAAGCUGCCAGUGACUUUGUGCUUUUCCGUGGAGAGCAGAGCCAGGCCUCCAAAGGAAAUGGGAGGAGAUGAGCUCUGCCAUGAGAAGAAGAAGAAAAGAAGAAGAAAACAAAGAAGAAAAAAGAAGAAGCAAAUGAAGAAGCUGCCAGUGAGUUUGUGCUUUUCCAUGGAGAGCAGAGCCAGGCCUCCAAAGGAAAUGGAAGGAGAGGACUCUGCCUUGAGCCUUCAGCAGCCAGAUCUCUGCAUCUCAGUGCUCAGGUGGCUGUGCAGGGAGGGCUGGCCUGGAAAUGGGCAGGAUUCCCCUCAGCUGGGUUCUGCAGUCUCUGGGGUUGUUGCGUUGUUCCUGGAGCAGGGUGAGGCUCAGGGACAGGCUGGGACACGCUGGAGUCACUCGCUGUGCCGGGCUGGGGACAGGGAAUCUGCGUCAUGUCUGUGUCUGUCUGUCUGUCCCUCACAACUGCAGCCUGGGCUCAGCCAGCUGCACCUGGACAGAGAAUUCCCUCCCCUGUUCCCCCUUUUCAUCCCCAGCCGCCCCAGAGCAGGGACAGCACAGGGGGACCCAGUGUCAAAGGCUCUUUGGCAGUUUUGGUACCAUGAGGGAUUUAUUGCUGUGCCUGCUCCUGCCAGGCAGCACUUCCUGGCUUUAGGAGCUGCAAAAUGAGCCUGCAUGCCUGUGUUCAUCAAAUACUGAAUUCCAGCGUGUCGUGGUGCCAUCACCUGAGCACAGGUGAGUGUGUGAGAGCCUGAGCUGGGCUCUUUUCCAUGGCCAGCCCCUCACAGCCCUGCCUGGCCUCUCCCCACUGCAAUUCCCAGGCAAUUUCUCAUGCCCACGGGUCUAAUCCACAGUAAUUCCAGCCUCUGGUCAUGAUGUCCUAAAAAGAGAAAACAUUUCUAGUCCAAAAUAACCAAGGUUUACUGAAGUCAUUCAUAUUCACACUGGCAAAUAUCCAAACAUCUUUCUGUUUGCCUACUUCCUUUCCCAUCCUCCAGCCUGCAUGGGUUCUUCUCCUUAAAGAAAAGAAACUUUCACUUCUAAAUUUCAGUGCGUUUUAUUGCUGUAAAUCUCAAAAUAGGAAGGGAAAAAGCCUUCAGGUAAAAAUCAGAAUUUAAAAACUCAUUCUUUCCUGGCUGGGACAUUUGUUCCUUAUUUGUAUCUUCAGUUUUAAAUAUGCAAAUUUAUUUAUUUUUAUCCUGCUGAAGCUGCUUCAGAGAGGCAGUGUCAGAGUGGUGGUUUCUACCUGAAGAGGGGUUUUUGUGUGUGGAAUUCCUGGAGCUGGGAGAGAUGCUGUAAUCAGAUAGGAAUUUGGGAAAUGUAUAGGUCUUUCAGGAAUGCAUAGCUCAUGUUGUCAUCGUUUUUCAGCUCUCCACCAUCCAAACUUUGCUUUAGCUAAUGCAAGCCAGAUGGGUUAUUGCUAUUUUAUACACUAAUAUUUGUAUUUAGGCUUUUUUAAUGGUCUCUGCUAAUAGUGCUGAGGCAGUAGGAAUUGUAUAAUCAUGAUUAAGGAAUUUUUUUUUACUUGAGUUGUUUUGUUUGUUUCUCGGUGCUGGUUAUGGAUCAGGUGUUGCAGAGAUUUGAUUAUUUUAUGUUUCACUAGGGGAAAAAAAAGGUUGGUUAAAAAUGGAUUUCUGGUCUGCUUUGGGAGAAAGAACCAGAGUGGUUUAUACAAAUGCAAUAAAUAAAUAAAUAACUCCGGGAAAAAAAAAACC
rnacentral:lncRNA from 1 species